ACUUCUUAAGGAUAAUGAGUACAAUAAGCAUCACAUAUGCAAAGUAGUUAUUGCAUUUUGAUGCUAUUAUUUUAUAAUAAAGUUCAAAUCAUAGGAUAUUAAAGUAUCAAAGAUGUCAUGUCACUCUAAAAAAUAUAUUACAUCAUUGAAAGAAGAUGAUUUUUGCGAUAUCUGCGAACGUUGUUCAAAAUGUGGAAUAAUAAUACAAGCAAAUCAUACAUGUAAUACAUGGAAUGGCAAUAAUAACAGUUAUAACUUAAAAUCACGAAAAAAAGAUAAAAUAAGGAAUAAUUAUUCUAAAAGAGUUUCAAUGUACAAUCAAAGUACAACAAUAUACCAAUCAAUAAAAUUUCAAAAAAAUUUUUGCCAAAAAAAAUCUGUCGGUACACAGACAGAAACAAUUUUAACUGCAUCAAACACAACACAAACAAAUGAUGAUUUUAAUAAUUAUAUUAAUCUGAAUGAUAAGGAAAUUUACAGAAAACUUAUUAAAAAUUUAGUUGAAAAAAUGGCACAAAAUAAAAUAUUACUUACCAAAUUGCACAUGCUUUGUGCUAAUUUGCAAAUAAAAUAGUAUUUUUCAUAAUUAUUUUUAAUUAAUGACACGUUUAUUAUUAUUAUUAUUGUAAUUAUAUUUUAAUUUUUGACGUUCAUGAAGUAUUAAUUAAACAUGAUAUUUUUAUUUUUUUAUUUCAUGUAAAUCAAGUUUUCGCUCUUUCGUUUUAUUUAUGAGAUAAUUUUUGUUGUUCUAUAAUUAUAUUUUCAUUCUUUACAUAAAUAUAACAUAAAUGAUCAACUAAAAAUAAAUUUAUAAUUCUUUUUAUGUUUAUAUAACUUGAUUUUAUAAUUGUGUAUUAAUUAUUAAUACAGAAAGAUACGAAAGAUUAAUAAAAAUUUAUAAUCAAUAUUAAAUUGUCAAAUUGUUAUUACGUAUAAUGUAUACGAAUAUUCAUAAAUUACUGUAUUAUCGUUAAUUAUUAUAUUUAUCAAUAUAAAAAAUAUGCAACUUAUCAUUUGUAGAUAACACUUAAUAAUUAACUGCUUUCCUUUUUUUCAUCAUAACAUUUUCGGUAAAAAUUAUUUUAACCAUCUGCGAAAUUAUUUAUAUCGUAUAAUAAAACAUACGAAAUUCUGAAAUAAAAACACAUACUAUAAAUAUUCACAAAUAAACAUAACAUUUCAUUCUAAAUACUUGCGAAUAAAAAAUGAAUAUUAUAAAAAAUUAUUAAAUGUAUUUUAAUUCGUGAACAAACAUACUUUAAAUAUUCACAAACAUGUGUAUUUACUAUAAAUAAUAAAUAAAAUAAGUUCUUCGUACAAAAUAUACACAAUUUUAAAUUAUAAACACAAACGCGCGACACGUUUAAACGGCACGGAGCGCGACACGUCUAAACGGUACGGAGCGCUACACUGUUAUGAAUCGUGGCAUUCCCCCACCGGCAAGCAAAGUCGCACGCACGAAUAUCGAUAGCUGCGUAAGUAGAUUUCAAAUAUUUUAUUAUACAUUAAUAUAAAAUAUUUAAAUAUUGUAAUUUUCAAUUGUAUGUUUAAUUAUAUUCAAAAAAAUAUUUUUUUAUUAUAUUUUUUAUUCAUUAUAUGUUAAUCGAAAAAAAGUUGUAUCAUAUAAGUUAUUUUAUCGAAUCGAGAAUUCUAUUUUAUGAACAACUAAAUAUGUAGAAAAUUGCAAUAAAACUAUUUCAAUAUAAAAUUA